ensembl:lncRNA
GAGACUUUAAUCAGUUUUAAGUGGAGUUUAUAACACUAAGAGAUAAGGGUUGUUAACAAACACAGUAACAAAUGGACAUCUGAUUGGUUUGAGGCAUUAUCCUGUACACGUCGUAUUUGUGUAUCCUCAGUGCAUAGCAUUUACACAGAGCCACUGCCGCACAGCACGAGAGUAUCUGAAGAGGCUGGGUCAGGGUAAGGCUGUUGUACAGACUGGAUUGUUUUAGUAUAUAUAUUCUAUAUGAAAACAGAUCGAACUUUUGAACUGGCAGGUAGGAGUCAACUCUGCCAAAUACUAGAGUCCAAGCGCCCGGUUUAGUGCACAGACCCACCCCUUCCGCCUGCAUGCAGGACACAUUAACAGUAUUUAAAGGCAAACGAGGCACUUGUGGCAACCACAGCCGUCGUUAUCCACAUAUUGCACAAAUUUUCUAAAACUAAACAUGGAACUUGUAACCUACUUUUAUUUUUAAAGCUGAAACAUUUGAUGCUGCCGGUAAACUCCACUUAAGUUUAGAACCUGUGCCACAGCAAAGAAUGGUGACGCUAUUUAAUUCAACUACCCUUUGACAAUUAUGGCAAAAAAUGUCCAAGAGGAAUUACAGAGGACUUGGGAUGUACGGGGCCCGACUGUAAGACUUCUUAAAGGUGAUGCCUUCAAGUCAUUUCAGACACGUAAGCUGCUGCACAUCCAAAAGUCUAAGAAAGCAUUCCAGAAACACGGGAGAGAUUACCUACAGAACGCAGUUCAGGCUAAUCGUGAAUACUGUCAUAAAUAAAGUUUUAAUUAGGACUCAAAAACCUUUCAGUCAUAGCAAUUCUUGUCAAAUUCUAUGGGGAUGGUAACUGAAAUAAAGGAGAGUAUGUAUAAUAUAUAUAUAUUUAUAUAUAUAAUAUAUAUAUAAUGCCAUUUUUCCAUUUCCAAUGACUACACCAUAAAAUGUAAGCAAGGCUUCUCAAAAACACUGAAACAUUCAAAAUCAAAACCCUCAUUCAGACCUUCACAUUCCAAAGGAAGAAUAUUAACAGUGCAACAGCCCAUGUAAUGUCAUUGCUCAUGGCCUGGCCCUCUGUGUUACACACUGGAACAAUACAAGGUAUAGUUUAGCAUGCUGUGCCCAGAACUAACAAAACAGUGCUCAUCGCUAUCUCCAAACAUCAACAGCUGCUCUCACUGCAGCCAGCCACUUCAGCUUUGAGAAAAGACAUGGGGGAUACAUAUUUCAAUGGUGAGAUCUCAGGGAAAGUUGUCUCUGACUUUAUCACUUCAUCAACAGUCAAUAUUCAUGUACCAAUGUUCAAAUAUAAAUGUGUAAAUCCUAAGAGCUUUGUUACAAUUUUAAAAACUUUAUUGGUUGAGUGAAACUGAUGAGGUAUGGAAAAUACAUCAACAUUAUUUUCUAAGGAUAUUUUAGAUGACAUUCUGCCUAAUCUACUUACCAUCAAACUAUAAAUGCUUCUCUAGUGGGUCCUAUGCAAUCUGUACUUGUAAAUUAACUAGGUCAGACCACAGCUAGUGAACAAUUUCAGCACCAAUAAGUUAUUGAAAAUGGGACUUCACACCAUUAAGAAAUAUAAUGGCUGGAUAUUCAAAUGUCAAGGUCAAGAUAUAAUUUGAAAGACACCAAAUUCCCAGGGGGGGCCGGGGAUCCUUUUCAAUAGUAUCUUCACAUUACCAUUACAAUAGUAGUUGUACUCUUGCUUUAAAUUGUAUGCAGUCUGGGCAUAUCAAACAUAUAAUGAUAUUUAAGAAGUGGAAUUGAAGCCCUAAUCCCAACUCUACCACUCUAACGAAGUGACAACACUGCACAUGGAAAGAGAUCUAUCCUUUCAACAGUAAGUCAAUAAAGCAUCUGUAGGACAAUUUCUACUGGAAAACUUAAAUGCCUUAUUAUUCGUGCAGUGCUGAAAAUUUACUGCA